UACAGAGGUCUCAAGCGUUGUUCGGAUUCAUUGGGCGUAAAGGGUGUCGUAGGUGGCGCCGUAAGUCGGGUGUGAAAUUUCGGAGCUUAACUCCGAAACUGCAUUCGAUACUGCGGUGCUUGAGGACUGGAGAGGAGACUGGAAUUCAUGGUGUAGCAGUGAAAUGCGUAGAGAUCAUGAGGAAGACCAGUGGCGAAGGCGGGUCUCUGGACAGUUCCUGACACUGAGACACGAAGGCCAGGGAGCAAACGGG
rnacentral:rRNA from 1 species